rnacentral:rRNA from 1 species
AUGCCUUUGAACUUGCUUGGGUACCCGGUUCUCCUCCUUGGGCUUCAUCCGCAUAGUUGCAUGGCUCUGAACUUGAUUGAGUUAGUUUUCAAGUUUCAGCUCGCCCCGAGCCGCCUCACAUGGGAGUCUGCUAGGAGGCGCCACCAGCACCCACCCACCGGCGCCGCCACCCACCACCGCCCCUCUGCUCUAUUGCUCCGACCCUCUCCCUCCAUUGCUUCUGCUCUCCCUGGAUCUGCUCCAACAGUCCCCGUCCCUCUGCUGGGCUACUGGAUCCGCCCCUCUGCUAGGUUGGAGAAAGCAAGCAGCACAAUAAUUCUCCCUUCUCUCCUUCCUUUCUUCCCUGAUUUGAUUUCCCCCUGCUCUCUUCCUUAUUUCGUUUUGCUUGCUUCAAUUUCAAGAUCCAGGGUCAGAACUACAAUGUCUACGACACCUUCAAUAUCUCAAGUAGUGUGUUUAGCAGCUGCUGCAGCUCAAGCUGAGGAGGGUUACGAUCCAUCGAAGGAUCUUGCAAGGAAGCCAACUAGGAACAAGGGCCUAGCAUGGAAAUAUGCUUAUUCGCCUGAUCUGCAUGACAAAUUGACGCUCCGAUGUACUUUGUGCAACAAAGAUGUCACUUCUGGAAUUUUAAGGAUGGAGAAGCACCUUGCUGGGGGUUUCAAAGAGGUGUUGAAGUGCUGA